rnacentral:rRNA from 1 species
UGCAACCCGCCCUCACGAAUCUGGAAUCCCUAGUAAUCGCGUGUCAACACCGCGCGGUGAAUACGUCCCUGCUCCUUGCACACACCGCCCGUCGCUUCACCCGAGUUGGGUUUGGGCGAGGUGACGCCUAAUUGACGUCAUCGAACCUGAGCUUGGCAAGGGGGGAGAAGUCGUAACAAGGUGGCCGUAGGGGAACCUGCGGCCGGAUCACCUCCU